rnacentral:rRNA from 1 species
UACGAAGGGGGCUAGCGUUGCUCGGAAUCACUGGGCGUAAAGCGCACGUAGGCGGCUUCUUAAGUCAGGGGUGAAAUCCUGGAGCUCAACUCCAGAACUGCCUUUGAUACUGAGAAGCUUGAGUCCGGGAGAGGUGAGUGGAACUGCGAGUGUAGAGGUGAAAUUCGUAGAUAUUCGCAAGAACACCGGUGGCGAAGGCGGCGCUCUGGACCGAGACUGACGCUGAGGCGCGAAAGCGUGGGGAGCAAACAGG